rnacentral:rRNA from 1 species
UACGUAGGGUGCAAGCGUUAAUCGGAAUUACUGGGCGUAAAGCGUGCGCAGGCGGUUAUGCAAGACAGAUGUGAAAUCCCCGGGCUCAACCUGGGAACUGCAUUGGAUACUGCCUUGCUUGAGUACUGGAGAGGAGACUGGAAUUUACGGUGUAGCAGUGAAAUGCGUAGAUAUCGUAAGGAAGACCAGUGGCGAAGGCGAGUCUCUGGACAGUUACUGACGCUGAGGCACGAAGGCCAGGGGAGCAAACGGG